AGUCAUAGUGGCUGACAUCUAUUAUGCACCUUCUGCAUGUUAUGUGCUUUGUUUUGGAUUCUACAGGGCACAAAAGUGCAUUGAAGUGGCUUACAAGGCUGGGGGCAAGGGACAUCCCUGUCCCCAGCUUGCUACAGAGUUUGUCCACCACAGAGCUCCUUGUCUUUAAUGUGCUGUGAACCAAGAGGCUGCAUCCCUUGUCAACCCAACCUGAAGAAAGGAUUUCAAAAAGCAAGACUUAAUUAUGUGGAGCGUUCUCAGUCACUGAAUCACCAGCAUUUCCUGACACUUGACUCUCAUGCAUUUUAGCAAAAGAUUAACCUGGCUGUUUGCUUUUAAUUCUGAAGCUGUGUUAACACCCAGCUCCCUCUAGAUUAGACAGGAAGAAAAACACAUGCCGCACACCCCACCUGGCGCCACAGGCCCCUGGGCCGAAGUUCUAGCCAUGCCGCACUCCCUAGGGUUGGCUGCACUUACCAUU